GGAGAGGUGCGAGAGUGGUUGAAUCGGGCGCUCUCGAAAAGCGCUGUGCCUUAACGGGUACCGAGGGUUCGAAUCCCUCCCUCUCCGCCA
rnacentral:tRNA from 1 species